ACGCACGCCGCCCGGCCGAGACGCGCGGAUAAAUCAUCAACCGUGAAGACCGCAUCAGUUAAAGACACCGCGAAAGAAAAGGUGGAUUCAUGAAAUAGCAGGCGGAAGAUUCAGAAGACGAAGGAAUCUAG